rnacentral:lncRNA from 1 species
CCCUCGGGCAGCUCCCAGGUGCCGAAGCCCUGCAGCCAGCGGUAGCAGGGGAAGGAAUAGGGGGGGCACGGAGCUGCGGCCCCCCCGCCAUCGUCAGCGUCGGCGCCGCCAUACAGCGCCUCCAGAUCCUCCAGGCCCUCGUCGGGGUCGCAGGGGUCGUCGGGGUCGCAGGGGUCGUCGGGGUCAUCGGGGUCGCAGGGGUCGUCGUCGGGGUCAGCUGCAUUGGGGGCAGUGCUGAGCUCCUCAUCGCCAUCGCUGCCGCCGUCGCUGUCCCCAAUGGGGUCAUCGCUGUCCUCAGUGGGGUCGUCGCUGUCCUCAGUGGGGUCAUCGCUGUCCUCAGUGGGGUCGUCGCUGUCCCCAAUGGGGUCCCCCGCGUCCCCCCCCCCCCACGGGCCACACGCGGACGCUCUCCAGGAACCACGAGCUUUGGGGGAGGCGCCCAUAGGGCUCCUUAUGGACCCGCAGCAGCAGCAGCGCUCCCAACGCCCGCGGGCUCUGCACGACCAGAAGUCGGGUCCCCACCCAUCCAGGGGGGUUUUGGGGCUACAGCCGCGGGUCCCCACCAAAGUGAUGGAGAUGGAGUCGGCGGUUCCGGCUCCGGGCUGAGUGCCGGUGCGGACACGGACCCGGUACGACGCCAUUGCUGCUCCCACCCCCGCAGCGUCGCCAUUUUUACCCCCCUUUCCCCCAGGCCACGCCCCCUCCGGAAGCCCC